GGAUCCAGACUUUGAUUAUGGCUCAGGAUGAACGCUAGCUACAGGCUUAACACAUGCAAGUCGAGGGGCAGCGGGAUUGAAGCUUGCUUCAAUUGCCGGCGACCGGCGCACGGGUGAGUAACGCGUAUCCAACCUUCCGUACACUCAGGGAUAGCCUUUCGAAAGAAAGAUUAAUACCUGAUAGUAUCUUAAGCACACAUGUAAUUAAGAUUAAAGAUUUAUCGGUGUACGAUGGGGAUGCGUUCCAUUAGGUAGUAGGCGGGGUAACGGCCCACCUAGCCAACGAUGGAUAGGGGUUCUGAGAGGAAGGUCCCCCACAUUGGAACUGAGACACGGUCCAAACUCCUACGGGAGGCAGCAGUGAGGAAUAUUGGUCAAUGGACGAGAGUCUGAACCAGCCAAGUAGCGUGAAGGAUGAAGGUCCUACGGAUUGUAAACUUCUUUUAUAAGGGAAUAAACCCUCCCACGUGUGGGAGCUUGUAUGUACCUUAUGAAUAAGCAUCGGCUAACUCCGUGCCAGCAGCCGCGGUAAUACGGAGGAUGCGAGCGUUAUCCGGAUUUAUUGGGUUUAAAGGGAGCGCAGACGGGUCGUUAAGUCAGCUGUGAAAGUUUGGGGCUUAACCUUAAAAUUGCAGUUGAUACUGGCGUCCUUGAGUGCGGUUGAGGUGUGCGGAAUUCGUGGUGUAGCGGUGAAAUGCUUAGAUAUCACGAAGAACUCCGAUUGCGAAGGCAGCACACUAAUCCGUAACUGACGUUCAUGCUCGAAAGUGUGGGUAUCAAACAGGAUUAGAUACCCUGGUAGUCCACACGGUAAACGAUGGAUACUCGCUGUUGGCGAUAUACUGUCAGCGGCUUAGCGAAAGCGUUAAGUAUCCCACCUGGGGAGUACGCCGGCAACGGUGCAACUCAAAGGAAUUGACGG
rnacentral:rRNA from 1 species